rnacentral:misc_RNA from 1 species
CCAAUAGCGUAUAUUAAAGUUGUUGCGGUUAAAAAGCUCGUAGUUGAACUUCGGGGUCUACCCAUUGGUCAGGCUUAAUUGUCUGCACUGGUGAGAUGGAUCUCUACCUUCUGAGGAACUUUCAUGCCAUUUAUUUGGUGUGGUUGGAAAUCAGGACUGUUACUUUGAAAAAAUUAGAGUGUUUAAAGCAGACUAUCGUCUGAAUACAUUAGCAUGGAAUAAUGAAAUAGGACGGACUGAUUCUAUUUCGUUGGUUUCUAGGAUCACCGUAAUGAUUAAUAGGGAUAGUUGGGGGCAUUAGUAUUCAAUUGUCAGAGGUGAAAUUCUUGGAUUUAUUGAAGACUAACUACUGCGAAAGCAUUUGCCAAGGAUGUUUUCAUUAAUCAAGAACGAAAGUUAGGGGAUCGAAGACGAUCAGAUACCGUCGUAGUCUUAACCAUAAACUAUGCCGACUAGGGAUCGGACGAAGUUAAUUUUAUAAUGACGCGUUCGGCACCUUACG